CUUGUCACUCUUGCGCACGUGACUAUGUGCUGCCCCGCUUGUUGGACCCGAUUAUUCAGUCCAUUGCGUGGGGAGGAGAGUAGAGGAUGGGAGGUAGGCAGGUGGGGCACAGGGCCAGAUGGGCGCAUCCGCCGAGUCACCGUUGCCAACCGCUCGACGCGGAGGUGGAGGCGAGGCGCAACCUCUGCUCUCCAACUAGCGCUGGCGGCUAGGAGCUAGGAAGGGAGGGAAGUGCGAGUGCCGGGUCGCCUGGCUGCUGCUGAAACUCUAAGGGUUGCUGCUAUGGAAAGUGGCGAGUACUGCAGAGAACUGGAAAAUUCUCUGCCCAUCUGGAGCACGAGCGAAUCUGGAGAAUGAUGUGAAGAUGUUAAAGUCUUCGGCAAGGGCACCAAACAGAUUGCGCUGGAAAUGAUCUUUUGUUUGGAAGAGAGUUGGGGAAUGGCUGGAGUAACAAUGUUUUUGCUGCCCGGUUUUAUUUUCUGUUGGUCUUGGAAGCGCUGCUAGGAUAUUAGCUGGCUGGGGGGUCUAAAUUUUGAUGUAAUAAAAGGAUUUAUGUAACUUGGAUGCUAUCUGCCUUGCCACUGGUAUCAGGCUUGUUGGCCUUGAUGCUUGGGAAUGAAAGCCCUUAGAGCAUUUACAACCCAA